GUAAGUACUCGGUAGAUAUUUCUGCUGUCUAUACUAUCAUAGUUAUUGAUAAUAUAAAGACAUGUAAAAUCAUAAUGUUUUUAUCACAUAAACUUCAUAAAAGUGAUAAAAACAUUAAAACCCUGUAAUCUGGCUAAGUCUUUAUGAAACUAAGCAGAAGUGUAAGUUAGUUUAUAAGAAUACCUCAGUAGAUAAGUGUCUUGGUCAGCUUAACUAUCAGAAAAUACCAUAGGCUGUUAAAAAAUGAAUGAAAGAAUGCCAUUUGCAGCAACAUGGAUGAACCUAGAGAUUAUCGUACUAAAUGAAGUAAAUCGGAGAAAAAGAAAAAUGAUAUCACUUAUAUGUGAUAUCACUUAUACCUGAUAUCACGUAUACCAUAUGAUUAUCACUUAUGUGAAAUCUAAAACACAAUACAAAAGAACUUAUUUAGAAAACAGACUCACAGAUGUAGAAAACAAACUUAAGUUUGCCAAAGGGGAGAUGAGGUGGGGGAAGCAUAUUUGGAGUUUGAGAUCAACAGAUACAAACUAUUAUAUAUAAAAUAGAAAAACAACAAGGUCCGACUGUAUAGCACAGGGAACUAUAUUCAAUAUCCUAUAAUAGACCAUAAUGGAAAAAAUAUGUGUGUGUGUGUGUGCGCGUGCUAAGUCACUUUAGUUGUGUCUGACUCUUGAGACCCCAUGGACUGUAGCCCAUCAGGUAUGUGUGUGUGUGUGCGUGUGCUAAGUCACUUUAGUUGUGCCUGACUCUUUUGAGACCCCAUGGAUUGUGCAGCCCAUCAGGUAUAUGUGUAUGUGUGUGUGUGUGUGUGUGCACGUGCUAAGUCACUUUAGUUGUGUCUGACUCUUGAGACCCCAUGGACUGUAGCCCAUCAGGUGUGUGUGUGUGUGUGUGUGCACGCGUGUGCGUGUGCGCUAAGUCACUUUAGUUGUGUCUGACUCUUGAGACCCCAUGGAUUGUGUAGCCCAUCAGGUAUAUGUGUAUGUGUAUAUGUGUGUGUGUGUGUGUGUGUGUGCGUGUGCGCUAAGUCACUUUAGUUGUGUCUGACUCUUUUAAGACCCCAUGGACUGUAGCCCAUCAGGCUUCUCUGCCCAUGGAAUUCUCCAGGCAAGAAUACCAGAGUGGGUUGCCAUUUCCUUCUCCAGGGGAUCUUCCCGACCCAGGGAUCGAAUCCAGGCCUCCUACAUUACAGGCUGAUUCUUUACCAUCUGAGCCACCAGGGAAGCCACUAACCAUAUAGGCUGGGUGGCUUAAAUAACAGACAUCUAUUUCUUACAGUUCUGGAGGCUGGGAAGAUCAAGUACCAUCACAGGCAGGGUUAGGACUGCAACACGAAUUUUGGGAGUGCAGACUAAAAAAAUAGUCACAACCUAGAAGUUGAGUGUUGUUUUAUUUGGUGGGAAUUUUUAGGACUUCAAACCCCAGAGAUAGGAUCUCAAGUGACCCUGAGAGAACUGUUGGGGGUGGGGGAGUCAGGUUACAUAGAAGUUUGCAACAUGGGGCAGGUGGUCUGAAUAUCAAAAGGUUACAGUUAAUUAAGGAAAACCAGAUAUUUCAAGUUAAGGAAUUUAGCAUUUUUCUGUGUAUAGAAAGAUGCAAGAGUCUGGUCUUACUGAAAUCAUUCCUUUUAUAUGCAUCUCAGCAAUCUGGGGCCAGUGCUAACCGUGGGGAGUGGCUGAUGGCUGCCAGAUAGCAGACAUUGUUUUUCCUGGACUCCUUCAGGCUCAGAAAUUCACAUUUGGAAUCGCUGGUGGCUGUGACAUCCUUGUUUAUUGAUAUGGCAGGAAAUACUCGAUUUCACUGGGGCCACAAACAUUCAGCCCAUAACAAUAAGUACGCAAUAACAGAAAUAUGGACAGGGAGGCCUGGCGUGCUGCAGUCCUUGGGGUCACAAAGAGUCAGACUUGACUGAGAGACUGAACUGAACUGAACUAAGAAUCAAGAGAAAUAAAUAAUAAAGCCCAGAUAUAAAACAUGUGCAAAUAUAGUCAUUAAAAACAUUCAUUUGAACUCUAUAAUGAUGUUUUCCAUCCUAACGCAAUGUCUGAUACAAUGUAAGCUCUCAGUAAAUAUUUUGUGAAUCGGUCUAUUAAAAUUUCUCAACUGAUGGUCCCCCAUGCAGAGAAGAUGUGGAGGAACUGGCGCAUUGUGGUGGUGGUGGCAUAAUGUACACACUCCAGAGCAACCUGGUAAUGGCACCUUACCUCCACUUGUAAUAAAUUUCGUAAUUUCUCUGAGAAGACGUCUUCUUUGAGCCAUCCAAGCAGAGUCGAUCACACCACCCUUUAUAUCACUAGACCACACUAUCUCUAGACCACACCUCCAAUUGCUACAGC
ensembl:lncRNA